GGGGACGUAGCUCAACUGGUAGAGCGCCUGGUUUGCAACCAGGAGGUCGUCGGUUCGAGUCCGAUCGUCUCCA
rnacentral:tRNA from 1 species